rnacentral:lncRNA from 1 species
AUCCUUGCCCCAAACAAGAAUAGGCUGGUUCAUCAGGGAAGUUGGGAGGCUGAGCAGCUGUGGAGACAGCUGGUGCUUGGAAGCCCUUUCAGCAGUGUCUGGUGCUGGUUUUGCUGAGUAGUGAUUUUCAGGAGGCAACACCUAUAACUUUUCAGCCCCACAAAAUCAUCAGAACAACAUUUAGCUGCUGUUGGCCGGAGUGGGGCUCUGGACGCCAUUUUGUCAGCACAGCAAGUUUCUACCAGCCUGCUUCCGACGACUCAGCAUUCCCGAGGCUCACUCCAUCCCCCCUACCUGUGCUUUAAAAACCUGCCUUUUAAAAUAUCUCCCCAAGAAGUAGCAAGUGCCUCUUUUGACCGAGUCUGCUGACAUGGUUUUUAAUUUGGGAAAGAGGGCGAGUAGCUGUGUGGAAGCAUCACUCUCUGGGAUGUCAGAGUCUCCUUGGAAGAGCCCUAAUUAAGGACUCAGAAUGAUUGACAGGUGGUGGAAGCCCACGGAAAGCACAACUGACAUGCAGCAGAAGUCAAUGUCUCUCAGUUGCGAAAAAAGUUGGCAAUCGGAGACCUUGAAAAGCCUUUGCAGCUACCACCCAUUGGUGAAAGGAGAGGAUUGAUGGGGGCCAGUCUCCACCCGAGCCACCCAGAGAAGUCCCAUCAUGGCCCAUCCUGAAGCUGUAGCCUCCAAGUCCCUGGAACCAUUUGAUCAGAUGUUUGUUCCCAUUUCUCAUUUACCUUUCCCUUGGAUCUAAGCGAGUGGGAAAUAUUUAGGCAGUGUCUAGCAACCUGUCUGUAGGAGGUUAAGAGGGCCACAAAUUAUUUCAUACCCCUAUGAGAGGUAGAGUCUAAUUCACCUCCCUUUGCAUCUGAGCUGGCUUCGGUGACUUGUUUCAUGUUCUGAGGUCCCUGAGGCUAGAUCACAAGAAGGCUUGCAGCUUCCACCCGGGUUUCUGGGGAGCCCCAAGCUGCGAUGGAAGAAAUUUAAUGACGCCAAGGCUGCCGCGCUGAGAGGCCACGGGUGGGUCCUCAGCUGACAGUCUCCGCUGAGCCCCGCUGCCCAGCCAGGGCCACCAAGGCGCCAGACCUGCAAGUGAAACCGUCCCGAGCCUCUACACGAGCCUGCCUCCCAGCUGGCUACCACCAAGUGACCUCCACGGCAACCAUACGGAAAGGAAGAACUCCUGACCCAUGAAAUCAUGAAAUUCAAUAAAAUGAUGGAU